CGAACGGGUGAGUAACGCGUGAGGAACCUGCCUCGAAGAGGGGGACAACAGUUGGAAACGACUGCUAAUACCGCAUAAGCCCACGGCUCGGCAUCGAGCAGAGGGAAAAGGAGUGAUCCGCUUUGAGAUGGCCUCGCGUCCGAUUAGCUAGUUGGUGAGGUAACGGCCCACCAAGGCGACGAUCGGUAGCCGGACUGAGAGGUUGAACGGCCACAUUGGGACUGAGACACGGCCCAG
rnacentral:rRNA from 1 species